GAUGAACGCUGGCGGCGUGCCUAAUACAUGCCAGUCGAGCGAACGGACGAGAAGCUUGCUUCUCUGAUGUUAGCGGCGGACGGGUGAGUAACACGUGGAUAACCUACCUAUAAGACUGGGAUAACUUCGGGAAACCGGAGCUAAUACCGGAUAAUAUUUUGAACCGCAUGGUUCAAAAGUGAAAGACGGUCUUGCUGUCACUUAUAGAUGGAUCCGCGCUGCAUUAGCUAGUUGGUAAGGUAACGGCUUACCAAGGCAACGAUGCAUAGCCGACCUGAGAGGGUGAUCGGCCACACUGGAACUGAGACACGGUCCAGACUCCUACGGGAGGCAGCAGUAGGGAAUCUUCCGCAAUGGGCGAAAGCCUGACGGAGCAACGCCGCGUGAGUGAUGAAGGUCUUCGGAUCGUAAAACUCUGUUAUUAGGGAAGAACAUAUGUGUAAGUAACUGUGCACAUCUUGACGGUACCUAAUCAGAAGGCCACGGCUAACUACGUG
rnacentral:rRNA from 1 species